rnacentral:rRNA from 1 species
UACAGAGGGUGCAAGCGUUAAUCGGAAUGACUGGGCGUAAAGGGCGCGUAGGUGGUUAUUUAAGUUAGUUGUGAAAUACCUGAGCUUAACUUGGGGGAGUCAACUAAUACUGGAUAACUAGAGUCUAGGAGAGGGAAGUGGAAUUUCCGGAGUAGCGGUGAAAUGCGUAGAUUUCGGAAGGAACACCAGUGGCGAAGGCGACUUUCUGGCCGAAGACUGACACUGAGGCGCGAAAGCAUGGGGAGCAAACAGG